rnacentral:rRNA from 1 species
AUUGAACGCUGGCGGCAGGCUUAACACAUGCAAGUCGAGCGGAGAUGAGGUACUUGCACCUUAUCUUAGCGGCGGACGGGUGAGUAAUGCUUAGGAAUCUGCCUAUUAGUGGGGGACAACAUUCCGAAAGGAAUGCUAAUACCGCAUACGCCCUACGGGGGAAAGCAGGGGAUCUUCGGACCUUGCGCUAAUAGAUGAGCCUAAGUCGGAUUAGCUAGUUGGUGGGGUAAAGGCCUACCAAGGCGACGACCUGUAGCGGGUCUGAGAGGAUGAUCCGCCACACUGGGACUGAGACACGGCCCAGACUCCUACGGGAGGCAGCGGUGGGGAAUAUUGGACAAUGGGCGGAAGCCUGAUCCAGCCAUGCCGCGUGUGUGAAGAAGGCCUUUUGGUUGUAAAGCACUUUAAGCGAGGAGGAGGCUACCUGGAUUAAUACUCUAGGAUAGUGGACGUUACUCGCAGAAUAAGCACCGGCUAACUCUGUGCCAGCAGCCGCCGUAAGAC